GCUGACCUUGGAAAUGCCAGCAGUGUGGACCAAUAGCCUGGAUGAUUCAGAUGAAAGAAUCCACUUGGCCUCCUGAAUCAACUGACUGUUGGUCUGCAUUAGCUGAAGUCAACGGAAAAUGGC
rnacentral:precursor_RNA from 18 species